GACGAACGCUGGCGGCGUGCUUAACACAUGCAAGUCGAACGGAAAGGCCUGCUUUCCCUUGUGGAUUGCGGGUACUCGAGUGGCGAACGGGUGAGUAACACGUGAGUGAUCUGCCCCCAACUUGGGUAUAAGCCUGGGAAACUGGGUCUAAUUCCCGAUAGGACUGCAGGGUGGUGCCUGUGGUGGAAAACGAUUUUCUAGUGGUUGGGGAUGAGCUCGCGGCCUAUCAGCUUGUUGGUGGGGUAAUGGCCUACCAAGGCGGCGACGGGUAGCCGGCCUGGGAGAGUGGACGGGAACGGUGGGACUGAGAUACGGCCCAGACGCCUACGGGAGGCAGCAGUCGGGAAUAUUGAACGAUGGGCGGAGGCCUGAUGCAGGGACGCCGCGUGGGGGAUGACGGCCUUCGGGUUGUAAACUCCUGGCGGCCGCGAGGAAGCCACCUGGUUGGAAGGGUGGUGACGGUAGUGGGAGAAGAAGCACCGGCUAACUACGUG
rnacentral:rRNA from 1 species